CGGAUUCCAGUACCUGGUGGACUGGGAGGGUUACGGCCCGGAGGAGAGAAGUUGGGUGCCUGCUAGGGACAUUCUGGAUCACUCCCUUAUCGAUGAUUUCAAUCGACAGAUCGUUGUUUCUUCCCUGAGGUUGUGUCGUGUGUCCGUGCUCUUCUCUUGUGUGGAUUAUCUGCUGUGCUCCUUCCUACUCAUCCGGACACACUCCCCUGGUUUUCUCAGCACGUUAUCAUCGGAAGAUGCGCCCGAGUCCCUGGGUCGGAUUCCGUCUGAGUACAGUCUGUCUGUCCUGUUGCUGCUGUGAACUAUAUUCAUUAAACCAUCGUUGCUUGCAUCUUG